rnacentral:rRNA from 1 species
UACGAAGGGGGCGAGCGUUGUUCGGAAUUACUGGGCGUAAAGGGCGCGUAGGCGGUGUGUCAAGUCAGGCGUGAAAGCCCCGGGCUCAACCUGGGAACGGCGCUUGAGACUGGCACGCUCGAGUUCGGGAGAGGAUGGUGGGAUUCCCAGUGUAGAGGUGAAAUUCGUAGAUAUUGGGAAGAACACCGAUGGCGAAGGCAGCCAUCUGGACCGACACUGACGCUGAGGCGCGAAAGCGUGGGGAGCAAACAGG